rnacentral:tRNA from 1 species
GCCACUGUAGCUCAGCGGUAGAGCGGCGGUUUCGUAAACCGCAGGCCGGGGGUUCAAACCCCUCCAGUGGCU